UGUAUGCUGAACUUGGUUGACAUGGACUCUUGUCUGGGAUGGUCCCAAAUUCCUGGUCUCAAGUGAUCCUUCUGCCUCAGUCUUCCACGUAGCUGAGGCUACAGAUGUGGUCUUGCUGUGUUGCCCAAGGCUGGUUUUGAACUCCUGGACUCAAGUGAUCCUCCUGCUUCAGCCUCCUCAGAGCUGGCACUACAGACAUGCACUACCAUACCUGGUCAGAGGGGCCAUGUUAGAUGCAUUUUUUGAGGAAGACCACUCUGAUCGGAUGACAUUGGAGCAGUGACAUGUGUCACGAGAAGCACUAGAACAAGAAUAUUCCUGGUAGAGAUUCUGCCUAUGAGAGAGAACACGUGACAGUCACCUUUCUGAAAGUUUGGCCGUGUUAAGCUGGAGAGGACCACUGGACUACCCAGUGGAAAAGUUC